GGCAAUUCUCUGAACAGAAAUUGUCAACUGAUAGAAUGGCAGUCAAAUUCUAUUUUUGUCUGUCUUUUGUUCUUUUCCUGAUGGUGUUAUCUUCACCUGAAUCUGACGCCUUUGCAAAUGGGGCAAAGCACGGUUCUCCAGGUAAAAAAGGCUUCCUGGAACAAAAGGAAAAGAAGGACGACGCCGAAAAUGUCCUCAUGAAACGCCGUGUGUGUGAAGUGGCAAGAAGAAUGGGUUGCUGAACCAGAAUUACAGAAGCAGCUGAAUCAGACACGUAUCCAUCGAUUAGGGUUUUUAAUGUUGUUAUGGCACAGAAACAAUAUAAAGUUAUGAAAAAUUAUUACUGAUGAAAAAUACACGUUGUCGUGUGAGAAUUAAGAAUUAAAGGAAAGUAAAUGCUAAAA